rnacentral:rRNA from 1 species
AUUGAACGCUGGCGGCAGGCUUAACACAUGCAAGUCGAGCGAGCGGCGGACGGGUGAGUAAUGUCUGGGAAACUGCCUGAUGGAGGGGGAUAACUACUGGAAACGGUAGCUAAUACCGCAUACCCUCAGAUGUGCCCAGAUGGGAUUAGCUAGUAGGUGGGGUAAUGGCUAACCUAGGCGACGAUCCCUAGCUGGCCUGAGAGGAUGACCAGCCACAUGGGAACGGAGAAAGGGUCAAGAUCCCUACGGGAGGCGGAAGUGGGGAUCAUUGGACAUUGGGCGAAGGCCUGACGAAGCAAUGCGGCGUGGAUGAAGAAGGCCUUCGGGUUGUAAAGUACGUUCAGCGGGGAGGCGUUACCCGCAGAGGAAGCACCGGCUAACUACGUGCCAGCCGCCGCGGUAAUAC